UAGUCAUAUGCUUGUCUCAAAGAUUAAGCCAUGCAUGUCUAAGUAUAAACUGCUUUAUACUGUGAAACUGCGAAUGGCUCAUUAAAUCAGUUAUAGUUUAUUUGAUGGUACUUACUUACUCGGAUACCCGUAGUAAUUCUAGAGCUAAUACGUGCGUACAUCCCGACUUCUGGAAGGGACGUAUUUAUUAGAUAAAAGGCCGACCGGGCUUGCCCGACUCGCGGUGACUCAUGAUAACUUCACGAAUCGCAUGGCCUUGCGCCGGCGAUGUUUCAUUCAAAUUUCUGCCCUAUCAACUUUUGAUGGUAGGAUAGAGGCCUACCAUGGUGGUAACGGGUGACGGGGAAUCAGGGUUCGAUUCCGGAGAGGGAGCCUGAGAAACGGCUACCACAUCCAAGGAAGGCAGCAGGCGCGCAAAUUACCCACUCCCGACCCGGGGAGGUAGUGACGAAAAAUAACAAUACAGGACUCUUUCGAGGCCCUGUAAUUGGAAUGAGUCCACUUUAAAUCC
rnacentral:rRNA from 1 species